AACGGAGCUGAGAGGAGCUUGCUUUUCUUAGCUUAGUGGCGAACGGGUGAGUAACGCGUGAGUAACCUGCCCUGGAGUGGGGGACAACAGUUGGAAACGACUGCUAAUACCGCAUAAGCCCACGAUCCGGCAUCGGAUUGAGGGAAAAGGAUUUAUUCGCUUCAGGAUGGACUCGCGUCCAAUUAGCUAGUUGGUGAGGUAACGGCCCACCAAGGCGACGAUUGGUAGCCGGACUGAGAGGUUGAACGGCCACAUUGGGACUGAGACACGGCCCAGACUCCUACGGGAGGCAGCAGUGGGGGAUAUUGCACAAUGGGGGAAACCCUGAUGCAGCGACGCCGCGUGGAGGAAGAAGGUUUUCGGAUUGUAAACUCCUGUCGUUAGGGACGAUAAUGACGGUACCUAACAAGAAAGCACCGGCUAACUACGUGCCAGCAGCCGCGGUAAAACGUAGGGUGCAAGCGUCGUCCGGAAUUACUGGGUGUAAAGGGAGCGCAGGCGGACCGGCAAGUUGGAAGUGAAAACUAUGGGCUCAACCCAUAAAUUGCUUUCAAAACUGCUGGCCUUGAGUAGUGCAGAGGUAGGUGGAAUUCCCGGUGUAGCGGUGGAAUGCGUAGAUAUCGGGAGGAACACCGGUGGCGAAGGCGACCUACUGGGCACCAACUGACGCUGAGGCUCGAAAGCAUGGGUAGCAAACAGGAUUAGAUACCCUG
rnacentral:rRNA from 1 species